rnacentral:rRNA from 1 species
UCCGGUUGAUCCUGCCGGAGGCCACUGCUAUCGGGCUCCGACUAAGCCAUGCGAGUCAAGGGGCUUCUUCGGGGGCACCGGCGGACGGCUCAGUAACACGUGGACAACCUACCCUCGGGUGGGGGAUAACCUCGGGAAACUGAGAAUAAUACCCCAUAGUUCACCACGCCUGGAACGGUGGGUGGAUCAAAGCUCCGGCGGCAUAGGAUGGGCCUGCGGCGUAUCAGGUUGUAGGGGGUGUAAUGUACCCUCUAGCCCUCUACGCGUACGGGUGUUGAGAGACAUCGCCCGGAGAUGGAUUCUGAGACACGAAUCCAGACCCUACGGGGUGCAGCAGGCGCGAAAACUUGGCAAUGCGAGAAAUCGUGACCAGGGAACUCCAAGUGCAUCGGGUAAGACCGAUGCUUUUCUUGACUCUUCAAAGGUCUUGGAAUAAGGGGUGGGUAAGGACGGUGCCAGCCGCCGCGGUAAUACCGGCGCCCCAAGUGGUAGUCGCUUUUAUUGGGCCUAAAACGUCCGUAGCCGGUCUGGUACAUUCGUGGGUAAAUCAACCAGCUCAACUGGUUGAAUUCUGCGAGCACGGCCAGACUUGGGACCGGGAGAGGUGUGGGGUACUCUCAGGGUAGGGGUAAAAUCCUGUCAUCCUGAGAGGACCACCUGUUGCGAAGGCGCCACACUAGAACGGAUCCGACGGUCAGGGACGAAGCCUAGGGGCACGAACCGGAUUAGAUACCCGGGUAGUCCUAGGUGUAAACGCUGUGGACUUGAUGUUGGGGGCGCUCCGAGCGCACUCAGUGUCGAAGCGAAGGUGAUAAGUCCACUGCCUGGGGAGUACGGUCGCAAGGCUGAAACUUAAAGGAAUUGGCGGGGGAGCACCGCAACCUGAGGAUUGUGCGGUUUAAUUGGAUUCAACGCCGGAAAACUCACCAUAGCCGACGGACAUAUGAAGGCCAGCGUAACGAGCUUGCCGGAUUGUUCGAGAGGUAGUGCAUGGCCGUCGUCAGUUCGUACCGCAAGGCGUUCUGUUAAGUCAGAU